GAUGCUGACAAUUCAGAUCUGCCAAAGGAAAGCCAUAAAGUCCUUCCUUUAAGUGAAAAGGUGAAAGUUCUCGACUUAAUAAGGAAAGAAAAAAAUAACUUAAUGCUGAGGUCGCUAAGAUCUAUGGUAAGAAGGAAUCUUCUAUCUGUGAAAUGGUGAAGAAGGAAAAAGAAAUUUGUGCUAGUUUUGCUGCUACAAAAGUUACUGCCACAGUGCACGGCAGUGCCUCUCGAAUGUGAGAAGCUGCUGCUCCCCCAAAUUGCUGGGGAAGAAAGGGAGUUCCUGAUCUUUCUUAUUGAGGCUCAUGGAGCUUCUGUCCUGGAGAUUCAGUAUACUUCAGUAAUGGCUCUGGGGAACAGAACUCAGGAUCCUCAAGACCCAAUGGCUCUUGAUGAUAAAAGCCUCUGGGUCCACCGACAUUUUCCCUAUGUAAUCAAAGACAUGUCUGCACGCAUUUUUUGGCAUAUUUUUCCGUAAUCAAAGCAAGUUGCUAUGUGUUAGUACUAAAGCAAACCAUAAUAGUAAAAACGAAUUUCUGCACCAAGAGAAUGAAUCGGCAGCUGAGAAAGUCAGAGUGAAGAGGCCUCAGUAAUAUCUCUACCUCCUUGAAGGUUAAAUAUUCCUAAGACUCUAGGAGGAGAGAGGAGAGAAAGCUGGCCCUGUUCUUUCCUCCAGGAUGUAAGGUUUUUCCAGGCUACUUUGAAAAGUCUCAUUUACUCCAGGCUAUAGAAGAAUAAAAUCGGAGGUGAGUUCCCUGAAAUCAAGGACACUGCCUUAUCUAAUGGUGUUGGGAGUGCAGUGAACUUGCUGGGGACAGUUUGAAGGAUCCUCUUAAGCUCUGAAACCAGGUUGUUGCUGCCUGCUACAGACCACCCACAGCCAACGUCCUUGGCUGAGUGACACAGCUUCCCAGUGACCGCCACCGAUCCAGCCACCAAGUAUGCAGCCCAACCUAUGGAGCUGAGCCCAGAAGUGACUCAAAGAAACAAGCCACAACCCAGAACUGAAUCACAACAGCCUUUUCCGUUA
rnacentral:antisense_RNA from 1 species